rnacentral:rRNA from 1 species
CAGCAGCCGCGGGAAUACGAAGGGGGCUAGCGCUGCUCGGAAUGACUGGGCGUAAAGGGCGCGUAGGCGGCGAUCAAAGUCAGGCGUGAAAUUCCUGGGCUCAACCUGGGGGCUGCGCUUGAUACUUGGUUGCUUGAGUGGGGAAGAGGGUCGUGGAAUUCCCAGUGUAGAGGUGAAAUUCGUAGAUAUUGGGAAGAACACCGGCGGCGAAGGCGGCGACCUGGUCCUUGACUGACGCUGAGGCGCGAAAGCGUGGGGAGCAAACAGGAUUAGAUACCCCAGUAGUCCCUGUCUCUUAUAC